AUCGUUUAAUACUACCAUCAGAUUUGUUCUUGAUCUUAUAUAUCCAUUUGCUUUUAAUGGCAUGUUUGCCUAGGAGAAGUGGCAUUACAAACCAAGUGUGAUAAAGCUUUUAAGGCCAUAAUUUCAUGGGCCAUAGCAUCACGCCAGUGAGCAUAUUUCAUGGGACUUCAAUUAUUUUUAUGUUCAUGGCACUAGUGUGCUUUAUAUAUGAGUUGAGCCCUUCGACUU
rnacentral:lncRNA from 1 species